rnacentral:lncRNA from 1 species
CUGCGGUCAUGCUGGAGCACCACCUUGAAGAGUCUAAUCGAACAUACUGAGUCCAGAACUUAUUAUUUUAACCAUCGUACUUAAACAAUCGGUCACUUUUGGCCGAACCGCUAGCCUAUAGGUUCGUAAAAAUCAUCCGCCGGUUUUUCGGUGGUGGGAGAGAAACACAAUCACAAGGACACACACACAUAUAUACCCGCAUCAUGUAUAUAUAUAUAUAUAUAUAUAUGUGCGUGUGUGUGUGUGUGUGUGUGUGUGUGUAUGUAUGUAUGUAUGCAUGUAUGUAUGUAUGUAUGUAUGUAUGUAUGUAUGUAUGUAUGUAUGUAUGUAUGUAUGUAUGUAAGUAUGUCAGGUCACUUUCAAGUGCUACUGGUAACAUGUAGCCCAGUACAACCUGUUGCAUUGUCGGGUCGUCGGCGACUAAACCGGCAACCCCACCAAGCUUGCUUGGUGAGGAGGGUGUUUAUUGGACACCCUGCAGGAUGAAAAACAAAACCCGUCAAAGGGCGGAGGAACAUUUGAGAGUCAACGGCCAUCCAAUAAAUGUCUUAAGGAUGUAUUAUGCGCGGGGUCAUAGAAAUAAUCGGACUGAAUACCCGAUCGCGCGGUUAAACCAUUAGGAGUGAAGGACUCCUAGCCUUUGUUAGGGCAUCCUUCUAGGAGAAGGUAACUCAGUUAACUGGGAUAACUCCGACAUAAAACCUGCGGCUCAGUGGUUGCUGAUGAUGUUGACUUGUUCUUCUUUUCGGAUUAUGACUGCUGUUGCUCAGUGAGUGGGAUUGACUCAGUGCACGGCCUUUCCUCACUUUAAAAAAAAAUCUUGCACAGGCAUUGCACGAUAACAACAUUGAUUAAGCUUCGUGCAAUGGCCAUACUCGAUAACGAGGGGGCAGCCACCAUGUAAGUAUGUAUGUAUGUAUACACACGCAGUUGAAAUUUACAGAAAAACAAAAGACGAAGACAUGUGUAUAAGCAACACACGCGCAGGGGAUCUUUCACUUUCCCUCAACCACAUCCACUCAAAGGUUUAGCUAGUAGAAGGUAAUUGCCCAAUGUGUCACGUAGUGGGACUGAACCCGAAACCAUGUGGUUGAGAAGCAAAGUUCUUACCACACAGCCACAUCUGCAUACACACACACAUACAUACACAUAUAUAUGUAUGAAUGAUUGCAUGCGCGCAUGGGUGCGUGCAUGUAUGUAUGUAUGUAUGUAUGUAUGUGUGCAUGUAUGUAUGUAUGUAUGUAUGUAUGUAUGUAUUGAAUGUAUGUAUGUAUGUAUGUAUGUAUGUAUGUAUGUAUGUAUGUAUGUAUUUAUUUGAGAGGUAUGUACAACUCGUCAGAAACGCCAUUGACAACGAAGAAUCAGGAGACGGCAACCAUCUGUGAAGGUGGAGCAAUCAGCUGUCUAUCUAUCUAUCUAUCUAUCUAUCUAUCUAUCUAUCUACCUAUCUAUCUAUCUAUCUAUCUAUCUAUCUAUCUACCCUAUACAUAUAUAUAUAUAUAUAUAAUCUCUGAACGAGGUAUAGACAGUAACUACACGACAAUGUGAAGUAUAUUUGCCAUCUAAAUAUGGCUAACCACUAAGCGUGGAUGUUACUGUAGCUUGUAGCCCCAGGAGAACAUCUUCUCCAGCUGGCUAUUGACACACUUUCUGUAUCGGUAUUUGCAAAGGGAGGUCAUCCUUCCCUCGUCAACCUAAGUGAUGCGCACGGACUGCAGUUUCUGGGUAUUGACCCGUCAUCAGCGCAUGACAGUCACCGGUUUUCGAUGGAAGGGUCCCAAUGCAAAUACAUAUAUCCUUUUUCAAGCGACUUUUCGCCACUGAUCUUGAAAAAGGAUAUAUGUAUUUGCAUUGGGACCCUUCAUCAUAUAUAUAUACAUAUAUAUAGGCGCGGGAGUGGCUGUGUGGUAAGUAGCUUGUCUACCAACCACACGGUUCCGGGUCCAGUCCCACUGCGUGGCACCUUGGGCAAGUGUCUUCUACUAUAGCCUCGGGCCGACCAAAGCCUUGUGAGUGGAUUUGGUAGACGGAAACUGAAAGAAGCCCGUCGUAUAUAUGUAUAUAUAUAUAUAUAUAUAUAUAUGCGUCUGUGUGUUUGUGUGUCUGUGUUUGUCCCCCUAGCAUUGCUUGACAACCGAUGCUGGUGUGUUUAUGUUCGGCAAAAGAGACCGAUAGAAUAAGUACUGGGCUUACAAAAGAAUAAGUCUCGGGGUCGAGUUGCUCGAUUAAAGGCGGUGCUCCAGCAUGGCCGCAGUCAAAUGACUGAAACAAGUAAAAGAGUAAAAGAGGAAAGAGUAUAUAUAUAUAUAUAUAUAUAUAUAUAUAUAUAUAUAUAUAUAUAUAUAUAUAUAUAUAUAUGUAUAUAUAUAUAUAUAUAUAUAUAUAUAUAUAUAUAUAUAUAUAUAAAUGUAUAUAUAUAUAUACUUUACGAUAAGAACUGUGUUUUCUCAGCUGUAAAUAGCUCUGAAUACACACCAACAGCUGUUGUACGCCAGUUGGACAUGCAUUUUAUGUGAGUCAGUUCGUUCAAAACCACUUGGUGAGCUGAUUUAAUAUUAUUACUGGGGAUCUAGCUUUUUGUGUAGUGGCGAUGGUGGUGGUGACGGUGUUACUGUUGUUGUUGUUUCUGUUAAUGGUAUGGCUAGUUUUGUUGUUGCUACUACUGUUGUUGUUGCUGCUGCUGCUGUUGUUAUUGUUGUUGAUGAUGAUCAAGCAGACCUGACAGAGUCGUAUCACUCAACUUGCUUCUACACACUCACAAACAUUCGCACUUAAUCUCUCUUUCUCUUCCUUCCUUGCUGUAUCUCGCCCCGCCUCUUCAUCUCUUUCUUCUUCUUCUUCUUCUUCUUCUUCUUCUUCUUCUUCUUCUUCUUCUUCUUCUUCUCCCUCUUCUCCUCCUCCUCCUCUUCCUCUCUCCCUCUAUCACCCUCUCCCUCUGUGUCCGUCUGUCUCUAUCUCUUCUCUCUCUCUCGUUCACUCUCUUGUCGAGACAGCGGACAUCUUUCCCUUGCGAUGUCUCUUUACGAUAAACGGAAGUGACAAACAUAAUCUCCAGCAGCACAACUGUCCUUCUUUUUAUGUUAUUGUUGUUGUUGUUGUUGUUGCCAACGUCAUCGUCGUCGUCGUCGUUGUUGUCGUCAUAUGUAAUAAAUUCCCAUCCGAAAAAUGUUUUGAGAAGAAAGCGGUAUUUACUGCCUGGUCUACAUCUAAGAUAUUUGGAGCCACAAGAAAUGAAGAACGUUUGCAAGGAUUAUAUGACGUCAUUGCAUAAUGACCAUGGAGUAAUUUAAAACACAAAUUUUAAUUAUGUUAUAAUUAUUUUUAUUCCAGAUGUUGUUAAGAUUGUCUUAAUAAUUACUUACACACACAUGUAUGGGUGUAAGUGUGUGCAUAUAAUAAAUAUGUGUACAUGUGAAUAUGUGUAGUAGUGUGUAAGUAUGUAUACGUAGCUAUGUAUGAAUGUAUGUGUGUGUAUAUAUAUAUAUAUAUAUAUAUAUAUAUAUAUAUAUAGGGAAAAUAGAAGUUGGAAAUGCACUGAGAAUAGUUAAAAUAUUUUUUACUGUUAUUUUUAACCGGUUUCACAGUUUACACUGAUUUUCAAAAGGUUGCAGGAAACUUACUAAAGGGUUUAAAUUUAAUCUCGUGUUCAUUCUCUAUAAACCUUACCAGAAAACAUAAGGACAUUGAUCGUUUGGUACUGUCACUAGACAUGUUCAGUCGACCGUGUUGGCUUUAACUUACGAUACCAAACUUUGUCACUUGAUACUAACACACGGAUGUACCAGGGAACCUACAAAUCUUUCUAAGAUCAGUCAUGUGACUAUCCUCUACCAAUCAAAUCCUAUUUAAUUCAGCAAUGGACUCCCUAUAAAAAUAGGGCAAGCUUCAAACACUAGUCAGAAGCAAGACAGUUGCAACAUAAGCCACGUCUUUCUAUUUCAACUUCAAGUUCAAGUUCCGCCGAGUUCGACUUUGCCUUUCAUCCUUUCAGGGCCGAUAAAUUAAGUACCUGUUGCGUACUGGGGUCGAUCUAAUCGACUGGCCCCUACCCUAAAAUUUCGUGCCUUGUGCCGAGAGUAGAAACAUAUGUAUACAUACAUAUAUACAUAUAUUAGGAUUUAUGGGGUAAAACGAUUGGCUAUUUCCAAUGCAGCUCAAUCCGAGCUUUAGGCGAUCUGCACCGUCGGAUUAUAGUCUUAAGUAAGAUCGAAAUUCUUUAGGUGUAGAAGAUCCAAGUGUCACAACAGUAAAAAUCAUUGUCGUGGAGGGGUUAGUAACAAGUAAACUAAAUCAAAAUAAGAAGACAAAGGAACACUUUAUCACAUCUUUAAUGACCAAUUAAAAUUUUAUAACAACUCUUUCUUCAACGCCAGAUCACGUAAUAGAGCUAAGUUAAAAUUUAGGAAAUUUUUGCGGUCUUAAACAUUUGAGUGACACUUCUUCAGACCUGCAUUAAAAGAGCGCUUUAAUAUUGUGAAACAAGUACUGGGGUUGAUUCGUUCGACUAAAAUUUUUCAAGGACGUGCCCCAACAUGGUCACAGUCUAAAAACAAUUAAAUCUAGCCCAUCAUUUUGGUCUCAUAGUAAAAGUCCUACCUACCUACCUACCUACCUACCUACCUACCUACCUACCUACCUACCUACCUACCUACCUACCUACCUAUCUACUUACCUACCUACCUACCUACAUACAUACAUACAUACAUACAUAAUACAUACAUACACACAUAUUUAUAUAUAUAUAUAUAUAUAUAUAUAUAUAUAUAUAUAUAUAUAUAUAUAUAUAUAUAUAUAUAUAUAAAAUAUAUUUGGUUGACCGUUGGUCUCUAAGAUCACAGCUAUAUAUAUAUAUAAAAGCUGCAAAAGUAUCACAAAACAACUGUGACUGAGAGUUUCACGUUCCCAUUCGUCGGACAGUUGUGAUCAACACUUUUGACCCCCAACUGUCCGGCGGACGGAAGGUGAAACUCUGAGUCACAUGUUAACUUUACCUUCGGUAUUCGAUUACUAUUUUCUCCACCUUGUUUUGCAUUUACUUGAUUACUCGUGUAAAUACACACACACACACGCGCGCGCGUGCGCACACAUGUAUGUAUGUAUAUAUAUAUAUAUAUAUAUAUAUAUAUAUAUAUAUAUAUAUAUAUAUAUGUAUAUGUAUAUAUAUGUAUACGUAUGUGUGUGUGUGGGAGGGUGCAUGCUUUAAUUGCCUCUGACGGAAUAGUUAGGUUGGCCCAGGUUUGUUCUUGUUUAAUCAGUUUCGAUGCCUAGGUCAACAUUUCUUCUCUAUUUGUGAGGUCCACGGUGAAGCGUUGCUUCUUCUUCGCUGCUGUUGUUGCGAACUUGCUUUUGUUGUUGGUGAUGUUCUCGUUGUUGUUGUUGCUACUACUGCUGCUGACAUUAUUGUCAUUGUUCUUGUCGAUGUUGUUGGUGUUGGUUUUGUUGCUGUUGCUGUUGUCAGUUUUGCUAUUGUUGUUGUUGUUGUUACCAUCGUUGCUGUUGCUGUUUCUUUCGUUGUUGUUGUUGUUGCUGUUGAUGUUGUCGGUGUUGUUGCUGUUGAUGUUGUUGACGGAUAUUUGUUCUCUUCUUGUUUGUUGUUAGCACAACGUUUCGGCUGAUAUACUCAGGUGUCUUGUGGAAAUUUCGAACCUGGGUUCUCAUUCCUAAAGUAUUUUUCGAUGCUGUUGUUGUUGUUGUUGUUGUUGUUGUUGUUAUUAUUAUUAUUAUUAUUAUUAUUAUUAUUAUUAUUAUUAUUAUUAUUAUUAUUAUUAUUAUUAUUAUUAUUAUUAUUAUUAUUAUUAUUAUUCAGGUCACUGCCUGGAAUCGAACUUGGAAUCUUGGGGUUAGUAGCCCGCGCUCUUAACCACUACGCCAUAAGACACCUGAUGAAGGCUAGAGGGUAUAUCAGCCAAAAAGUUGUGUUAACAACAAAGAAGAUGAGGACAAAUAUCCGUCAACUGUAAAUAAUGUACAUAAUUCUUCAUCUCUUAAAUAUAAAAUUGUUGUUGUCGCUGUUGCUAACGCUACUACUACUGCUACUGAUGCUGUCAUUGUUGUAGCUGCUGCUGCUGUUAUCACAGCUACGGUUGUUGUUGUUACUGCUACUACUGUUGUUACUACGAAGUGGACUUUGUACUGUUCCAGUCUUGUUUUUCUCCUCUCCUUCUCCUGUAUUGUUGCUAGUAACGGAGCGAAGGAGAGUGAAAUCUUCAGCAGUCAUUAGAUUCGUGGGAGGAAGUGUUUUCUCUUUUCUCAACUCUUUCAAAACACGCUCCGCCAUCUUAUUGAGUUGUGUUUGAUUAAAUUGAAUUAAAUUAAACGCCCACCGAACUUAUUUGGUGGGCCGAAUAUAGCAUAGAAAACCAGUAACAGGUUCCUGGUGUUUCUAUUGACAACUUGGAGUAAAAUAAAUUGUGCAAAAAAGCACCAAAAACGGUGUAAAUAAAUGUUUUAAGCUGCACCAAAUUGGAGCGUCUGAAAACACGUCCUAUAUAUUCCACAGUGACUGAUGAUGAUGACGAUAAUAAUAAUAAUAAUGAUGAUGAUAAUAAUAAUAAUAAUAAUAAUAAUAAUAAUAAUAAUAAUAAUAAUAAUAAUAAUAAUAAUAAUAAUAAUUAACAUGAUGAUGAUGAUGAUGAUGAUGAUGAUGACGACGACGACAAUAAUAAUAAUAAUAAUAAUAAUAAUAAUAAUAAUAAUAAUAAUAAUUAUAAUAAUAAUAAUAAUUGCCUUGAUGCCGUACCAGGCAGUGGCUCUCAUGGCUACUGAUCUUAACUAAUUGGUAGUGCUAUCAUGUACAUUGUUUUGUCUUGGUAUAAAAGAUGGGCUACAGCAAAUAUUCUGCUCAAUACCACAGAUUUGCUUGUCGGUUGUUUGACCUUAACCAGUUGAGCAGGUCCCUUAGUGGCUGACGAUAUGUGCAUCUCCGAUCACGAGCAGAAGUAGUGGGGGAGCAUCACAGCCAUGUGUUGAAAGGAAUUCUUAGAGGUUUGGAUAAUUCACCUUUGGAAUUCAACAUACUUAAACAGUCCUUAUUUAGGGACCUUUUGAGUGGGAUAGGCUACUUGACCAGAAGAAAAUUCUAACUGGGCCCCACUUGCAAGGUCAUGCGCUGUUUAUCUUGAUAUGAGAUCACCAUGUCGUGCACAUAUUGUUGUGAUGCAUGUGCCUUGUGUACCCUUAUCAGACGGGUAGUCAUGAUGGGUAUACUGGGCUUCGUAUAUUUUACCCCAGUGUCACUUUGGUGGUAUGCACUGCUUUCUCACCCAGUAAUAAUAAUAAUGUUGAUGAUAAUGAUAAUAACAGUUUUUUUUCUAUUAUAGGCACAAGGCCUGAAAUUAUGGAAAGAGGGCUAGUCGGCUACAUCGACCCCAGUACAUGACUGGAACUUAUUUCAUCUCUCCUCGGUGGCACAAGCGAUUAUGCCAGCUCGGUGUGGAUAAAGCAAGUACUAGUUGAACACUGUGUUGCAAGUAAUAGAGUAAUCUUAUCCCUCAAAAUUCCAAGCCUUGUGCCUAUAGUAGAAAGAAUCGAGUAUGCUUUUCUAAACAGGAGGAAAGGAAGUGGAAGAGGGACUUUUCUAUGCCCGGGGUUGGCAAAGUAAAACGGAAAUUUUGCGUGAGUUACCCUAAGUGGAUUGCCCCACUAUUGAGAAUUCUAUUUAUUUAACUAUUUAUUUAUUUCCCAGAUUUCUAUUAUAUAUCCUCUGUUAUAUCUGUUAAUGUGGUAGUGUCUCCCUUUGAUUGAUGUAAACCCUACCCGCUUUUAUAUUUUUUGCUUUCGUUUUGUUUUUUUAUGCUACAACACGUCUUUUGAUACUGUCCUCCAUGCCUUGGGCCAUUCUGACCAAUAAAAGAAUUUAUUAUUAUUAUUAUUAUUAUUAUUAUUAUUAUUAUUAUUAUUAUUAUUAUUAUUAUUGUUGUUGUUGUUGUUAUCAUUAUUAUUAUUAUCAUCAUCAUCGUUAUUUUGGGGAUUUGACUCAGGUUCAUUCUUAUUCCUGAUAGAAUUUAUGUCGGUAGCGGGUUUACUACCUGUAAGCUCAGGUAUUCACAAGCUUUCAAUAGUCUUUCAAGUGCUUAAAACCCUCAUGAUAAUCAUUCUUGUUCCUAAGAGGUAAACUUUCCGUUGAAGCUCUAAAGGACAUGCUAUUCUAAUCUCCUUCAAUUAUUUGUCUAUAUCUUUACUCGCAAUUCCCAAUGCACCAAAUAUUACAGGCGCAACCUUUACAAUUUUCCUAUUCCAAAUCCUUGCAAUUUCAAAUUUUAAGAGAUUGUUUUUUUUGUCUUUGUUUUUCAUCUUAUUAUUAUCAUUGUUAUUGUUCAUGGUUUCCUUUCAUAAUAAUUCUGUUUCAGCUGCCUAAGUACCGGGCAUCCUCCGGAGGCUAAGAGUAGCAAGGGCACUUUCGUUUUGCUAUGCAUGCUAAAAUUAUCACCACAUUUAUUCCAUUUUAGAUAGAGAGAGUGCUUUCCGUAGUAUACUGGCUGUACUCAUCAAGGUUAUCUCUUGUAGUUCACGGAGAUUGGAGUUACCAGGGAGUUGCUUAAUAUGCUUCUCAUCUCCCUUCUUUAUCAAUCCCAACGCACCAAUUACCACUGGUAUUAUUGUGAUUUCAAUUUGCAGCUCUUUAUGGUGAAAAAGCUUUCCGUAUUCUUUUCAUGAAACAUUUUGAUCUUGUGGGACAGACAUAUCUAUUAACAAACAAAUCUCUCUGUUGUAGUCCUUGAUCACAAUGUUUGGAUGAUUGGAGUCGAUUUUUCUGUCUGUUUGAAUUGGGAAGUUCCAAAGAACGGUGACGGCCUCGGCAUUUACUUCAUCCUCUGGAUAGUGCCUGUAUCACUUAUCAUUGCACGAAGGGUCAGAUCCAUCUUUAAGGACGUUUGCAUGGUAGUUUCUUCUUCUUCUUCCUCUUAAUAAUAAUAAUAAUAAUAAUAAUAAUAAUAAUAAUAAUAAUAAUAAUAAUAAUGAUAAUAAUAAUAAUGAUAACAACAACAACAAUAAUAAUGACAACAACUAUUAUUAUUAUUAUUAUUAUUAUUAUUAUUAUUAUUAUUAUUAUUAUUAUUGUAAGGCGGCGAGCUGGUAAAAUCGUCAGCACGCUGAAUUAGCAGUAUUUUGCCCGUCGCUACGGUCUGAGUUCAAAUUCCACUUUUUAUCCUUUCAGGGUCGAUAAAAUAAGUACAAGUUGAACACUGGGGUCGAUGUAAUCGACUCAUCCCCACCUCCCCCAGACUGCCCUUGGAGCAAAAAUUUGAAUAAUGAUAAUAAUAAUAAUAAUAAUAAUAAUAAUAAUAUUGUUUUUGUUGUUGUUGUUGUAUGUUGCUUUUGCUGUUACUAUAGACGUCACACAGAAUACAAUAUCGUGAGGUUGUUGACUGAAGAUAUUGUGUCUACAGAGGUGUGUACUGUUUGUCAAGUCACAACAAGGACCUCAGACAGACAAUAUUUUACGCAAUAUGCAUGCAGUUCCAAGUAAUGCCGACUUUUGCAAAUAAAUCUAGAUUGUAUGAUAUUUUUAAGGCUUUCAGAUUUUUUUUCCGAUUGGAUGGUAUUGAACCCAAUGCUCCGAUGGCAAUAGGGAUUACCUUUAUGCUCAACUCUCGUAGAUACCACAUCGUAGCGAUCUCAAUCCUCAGGUCUCCAUAUUCAUCAGCUUUUUCUCUUUAAUGAUGAUAUGUUCAUCUCCUGGUAUUGCUACGUCAAUUAUUAGGCACUCUUGUUUUUCCCUCUUAAAGGUUACUAUAUCCGGUCUGCGAUGCUCUAAAACAUUGUCUGUCUGGAAAUCAAAGUCCCAGAGGAUUUUUACCUUCCCCUUUUCGUUCCUUACCUUUUUCGGUGUAUGUUGGUACCAAGCAUCCGUAACCUCAUAUUCCAGGGCUCCGACAAUUAUUGGUACUACUGCUUCCUUUUUCACCGACUACAACUGUUUAACUUCCCAAUUUAACCUGUCAUAUCUCUCAACUUUCUCCCUUAUCGGAUACCUUGUUGUCAGCUGGGCAUGCUACAU